rnacentral:rRNA from 1 species
GAGUUUGAUCCUGGCUCAGAUUGAACGCUGGCGGCAGGCUUAACACAUGCAAGUCGAACGGUAACAUGAGUGCUUGCACUUGAUGACGAGUGGCGGACGGGUGAGUAAUGUAUGGGGAUCUGCCGAAUGGAUUGGGACAACAGUUGGAAACGACUGCUAAUACCGAAUAAUGUUGCGAGACCAAAGGGUGCUUACGGGCACUUGCCAUUUGAUGAACCCAUAUGAGAUUAGCUAGUUGGUGGGGUAAAGGCUCACCAAGGCGACGAUCUCUAGCUGGUCUGAGAGGACGACCAGCCACACUGGAACUGAGACACGGUCCAGACUCCUACGGGAGGCAGCAGUGGGGAAUAUUGCACAAUGGGGGAAACCCUGAUGCAGCCAUGCCGCGUGUAUGAAGAAGGCCUUAGGGUUGUAAAGUACUUUCGGUGAUGAGGAAGUUAUGUGUGGGAUAAGCACAUAUAAUUGACGUUAGUUACAGAAGAAGCACCGGCUAACUCCGUGCCAGCAGCCGCGGUAAUACGGAGGGUGCGAGCGUUAAUCGGAAUGACUGGGCGUAAAGGGCAUGUAGGCGGAUGAUUAAGUUAGGCGUGAAAGCCUCGGGCUCAACCUGAGAAUAGCAUUUAAAACUGGUGAUCUGGAGUACUGUAGAGGGAGGUAGAAUUCCACGUGUAGCGGUGAAAUGCGUAGAGAUGUGGAGGAAUACCGGUGGCGAAGGCGGCCUUCUGGACAGAUACUGACGCUGAGAUGCGAAAGCGUGGGGAGCAAACAGGAUUAGAUACCCUGGUAGUCCACGCUGUAAACGAUGUCGAUUUGGAGUUUGUUGCCUAGAGUGAUGGGCUCCGAAGCUAACGCGAUAAAUCGACCGCCUGGGGAGUACGGCCGCAAGGUUAAAACUCAAAUGAAUUGACGGGGGCCCGCACAAGCGGUGGAGCAUGUGGUUUAAUUCGAUGCAACGCGAAGAACCUUACCUGGUCUUGACAUCCACAGAAUCUUUCAGAGAUGAGAGAGUGCCUUCGGGAACUGUGAGACAGGUGCUGCAUGGCUGUCGUCAGCUCGUGUUGUGAAAUGUUGGGUUAAGUCCCGCAACGAGCGCAACCCUUAUCCUUUGUUGCCAGCGAUUAGGUCGGGAACUCAAAGGAGACUGCCGUUGAUAAAACGGAGGAAGGUGGGGACGACGUCAAGUCAUCAUGGCCCUUACGACCAGGGCUACACACGUGCUACAAUGGCGUAUACAAAGGGAGGCGA